GACGAACGCUGGCGGCAGGCCUAACACAUGCAAGUCGAACGAGUGGCGGACGGGUGAGUAAUGUCUGGGAAACUGCCCGAUGGAGGGGGAUAACUACUGGAAACGGUAGCUAAUACCGCAUACCAUCGGAUUUGCCCAGAUGGGAUUAGCGGGUGGGUGGGGUAACGGCUCACCUAGGCGACGAUCCCUAGCUGGUCUGAGAGGAUGACGAGCAAAACUGGAACGGAGACACGGUCCAGACUCCUACGGGAGGAAGCAGUGGGGAAGAUUGCACAAUGGGCGCAAGCCUGAUGAAGCCAUGCCGCGUGUAUGAAGAAGGCCUUCGGGUUGUAAAGUACUUUCAGCGAGGAGGCGUUACUCGAAGAGGAAGCACCGGCUAACUCCGUGCCAGCAGCCGCGGUAAUAC
rnacentral:rRNA from 1 species